rnacentral:misc_RNA from 1 species
GAUGAAGAACGUUGCGAAAUGCGAUAAGUAAUGUGAAUUGCAGAAUUCAGUGAAUCAUCGAAUCUUUGAACGCAUCUUGCGCUCCUUGGUAUUCUGAGGAGCAUGCCUGUUUGAGUGUCAUUAAAUUCUCAACUACACUGACUUUGAAUUGGUGUGGCUUGGAUUUGGGGGGAAAAUUGUUGUGGGCUUUUUGUAUAGUCUGCUCCCCUGAAAUUGAUUAGCGGUACCUUUGUGGAACUGUCUACAGGUGUGAUAAUUAUCUACAUCUUAGACAUCUGCUGGAAUGCUGCUUUCUAAACCUUACUUGUAUUGACAAUCUUGACCUCAAAUCAGGUAGGACUACCCGCUGAACUUAAGCAUAUCAAUAAGCGGAGGA